AUGCAACCAAGUAGCUGAUGUGGAGGUGGGUGCCAGGAGGGGCAGGUUUAUAUGAGCAAUGCCCUGCAAAGGCCCUCACGGAUGCUCCUAGGCGCCACCACCAGCAUGGGGCGACCUGUGAGCUCCUGGACCCCCGCGGGCUCCUCCUGGGGCUGAGCGGAGGGCGCAUCCCAAGGGCUUGGUCACUAUCUGAUGGAUGAGUGGGUUGUGCGGAUGAGCAAACAGGGACUGAAUAGGAGGUCAGGCGUAUUUCAGCCUCAGAAACUGCACGUGCCCAUGGAAUCAAGGAGCCCAGGAACGUGUUUUGUGUUGAUGCAAACCUGCUGUAACAGACCGCGCCUGCUCCUGACCCAGCAAUGUGGGAAAGAGAAAGGCACGGCUUGUUUUGGUGGUGCAGAGGAGCAGGUAAUGGGAGAAUGCCCCUCCUCUGAUUCAGAGCGGGGAGGUACCCUGGGGCCCCGCCAUUGCCUAAGGACCACGGAUGUACGAAGAACCUUCCGAAGAGGAAAAUAAUGAAAUCAGGAAGAGGAGACUGUAUUUCAUUUGGACGCUCACGUCCUCAGCUGCUGUCCAGAGUUUCUGUCAUUUGCCCCUCUGGUGCCCACACCACACUGCCUUCCGGCUCCCAGCCUGGCGCAGCAUCCAUGGCUUCCUCCUUCCCGGAAGUCAGUCACCUUCUCUUGAGUCUUUUUCCUUUCCUCUCCCCUGCCCCCAGCUAUCCUGCUAAGAGGACGUGGCAAUUGAACCUGAGCUUCUGGAGCCCAGAGUGGAAUCCUGCCCGAGACCCUGACUUGGUCACGAAAACUCUUCAGGCACAGAAAGCGGGACUCCAGAGAAGCACAACCUCCAGGACAACAAUGGUCAUGGAUUGCUGGUGAGGACCACCUUAAAAAGAAGAUCCACAACAAAUGCCUGCGUGGAAGCCCCAGAGGCUGAUGAGGACCAGCUGUGCACCUGACACCCAAUUCCUGUCUUUUAAAGGUUUUGAGAAGCUUCUGCAGAUGACCUUGAACCAGAGGAGUCAGUUAAGCAACACAUCCCUGGAGAAGAUCCUUGCAGAAUUUGGUUUCUGUACGGUCAUGACUCUGGUCUGUUUAGAAGGCAUUAUAUGGUUUGUUUACAAUGAUGGAGGGACACACUUAUGCAUUAUUCAUGGUAUUUGCAGGGUCUGACCUCAGAAACAAAGCAUGCAUUACUAUGCCUCAGCCUCAUUUUCUCAGUGAUUCCUUCAUGGUGGCACAUCUAUACUUUACAUCUGAGAUGAUUGUGAAGUGCAGCAUUCCCUGUGUGCCUGACCAAAACCCGGGAGGGCAAGUGGUUCAGAAGGGUUAAGAAGGGUUGCCUGGGGGCCUGCUCUGCCUCUGCCACCAUGAGCUAUAUGACUUCCGGUGAGUUCUUUGCUCCUUCUGAGCCUGAUUCUCCUCACCUGUAAGAUGGAGAUAAUUAUCCUCAUCUUGUAUCGCUUUGGUGAGCCUUCCGUG
rnacentral:lncRNA from 1 species